GGGUGCAAGCGUUAUCCGGAUUCACUGGGUUUAAAGGGUGCGUANGCGGGCAGGUAAGUCAGUGGUGAAAUCCUGGAGCUCAACUCCAGAACUGCCAUUGAUACUAUCUUUCUUGAAUAUUGUGGAGGUAAGCGGAAUAUGUCAUGUAGCGGUGAAAUGCUUAGAUAUGACAUAGAACACCUAUUGCGAAGGCAGCUUACUACGCAUAUAUUGACGCUGAGGCACGAAAGCGUGGGGAUCAAACAGGAUUAGAUACCCUGGUAGUCCACGCCCUAAACGAUGGAUACUCGACAUUUGCGAUACACAGUAAGUGUCUGAGCGAAAGCAUUAAGUAUCCCACCUGGGAAGUACGUUCGCAAGAAUGAAACUCAAAUGAAUUGGCGGGGGUCCGCACAAGCAGCGGAGCAUGCGGCUUAAUUCGACGCAACGCGAAGAACCUUACCAAGGCUUGACAUAUACAGGAAUAUGGCAGAGAUGUCAUAGCCGCAAGGUCUGUAUACAGGUGGUGCAUGGUUGUCGUCAGCUCGUGUCGUGAGAUGUUGGGUUAAGUCCCGCAACGAGCGCAACCCUCGUUCUGUGUUGCCAGCAUUAAGUUGGGGACUCACAGGAGACUGCCGGGGUUAACU
rnacentral:rRNA from 1 species